rnacentral:rRNA from 1 species
AUUGAACGCUGGCGGCAGGCCUAACACAUGCAAGUCGAGCGGAGAUGAGGUGCUUGCACCUUAUCUUAGCGGCGGACGGGUGAGUAAUGCUUAGGAAUCUGCCUAUUAGUGGGGGACAACAUUCCGAAAGGAAUGCUAAUACCGCAUACGUCCUACGGGAGAAAGCAGGGGAUCUUCGGACCUUGCGCUAAUAGAUGAGCCUAAGUCGGAUUAGCUAGUUGGUGGGGUAAAGGCCUACCAAGGCGACGAUCUGUAGCGGGUCUGAGAGGAUGAUCCGCCACACUGGGACUGAGACACGGCCCAGACUCCUACGGGAGGCAGCAGUGGGGAAUAUUGGACGAUGGGGGAAACCCUGAUCCAGCCAUGCCGCGUGUGUGAAGAAAGCCUUAUGGUUGUAAAGCACUUUAAGCGAGGAGGAGGCUACUGAGACUAAUACUCUUGGAUAGUGGACGUUACUCGCAGAAUAAGCACCGGCUAACUCUGUGCCAGCCGCCGCAGUAAUAC